GGUCUGGCGGUGACUUACUCUCCCACGACUUAAGUCGCAGUACCAUCAGCGUAGCCGCCCUUAACUUCCGAGUUCGGGAAGGGAUCGGGUGUUU
rnacentral:rRNA from 1 species